UACAGAGGGUGCGAGCGUUAAUCGGAGUAACUGGGCGUAAAGGGCGCGUAGGCGGUGACAAGGGUGUGAUGUGAAAGCCCCGGGCUUAACCUGGGAAGCGCAUAGCAAACUUUGUUGCUGGAGUACAGGAGAGGGUGGCGGAAUUUCCGGUGUAGCGGUGAAAUGCGUAGAGAUCGGAAGGAACGUCAAUGGCGAAGGCAGCCACCUGGCCUGAAACUGACGCUGAGGCGCGAAAGCGUGGGUAGCGAACAGG
rnacentral:rRNA from 1 species